ACAACUCAUUAAUUCAAUGUUCAAUCAAAUAAAGAAAGAAAGAAAAAAAAAGACUCAUUAAUUCAUUGCUUAACUGUUACAGUUUGACACUCACUUGCGAAGACAUGUGUCAAUUGGUCACCACAUGCAUAUUUUUUGCAUCUUACUCUAACCAUAAAAAAAAUGCAACCAUUAAUGUGCAACUUACUACUAUUAUGUCAAAAGUAACAGAUCUAUACAAAAACAUUAGUACUAGUAAUGGGGUUGACAAU
rnacentral:lncRNA from 1 species